UGCCAGCCGCCGCGGUAAUACGAAGGGUGCUAGCGUUGUUCGGAAUUACUGGGCGUAAAGCGUGCGUAGGCGGCCUUGUAAGUCGGAUGUGAAAGCCCUGGGCUUAACCCAGGAAUUGCAUUCGAUACUGCAGGGCUUGAGUGUGGGAGAGGGAAGCGGAAUUCCUGGUGUAGCGGUGAAAUGCGUAGAUAUCAGGAGGAACACCCGUGGCGAAAGCGGCUUCCUGGCCCAUUACUGACGCUGAGGCACGAGAGCGUGGGGAGCAAACAGGAUUAGAUA
rnacentral:rRNA from 1 species